CGCUUCGUAGGAAUCUACCUUGUAGUGGGGGAUAACCUGGGGAAACUCGGGCUAAUACCGCAUAAUCUCUUUGGAGCAAAGCGGGGGAUCUUCGGACCUCGUGCUAUAAGAUGAGCCUACGUCGGAUUAGCUUGUUGGUGGGGUAAUGGCCUACCAAGGCGACGAUCCGUAGCUGGUCUGAGAGGACGAUCAGCCACACUGGGACUGAGACACGGCCCAGACUCCUACGGGAGGCAGCAGUGGGGAAUAUUGGACAAUGGGGGAAACCCUGAUCCAGCAAUGCCGCGUGUGUGAAGAAGGCCUUCGGGUUGUAAAGCACUUUCGGUGGGGAAGAAAUUCUCAAGGGUAAUAUCCUUGGGCGUUGACGUUACCCACAGAAGAAGCACUGGCUAACUCUGUGCCAGCAGCCGCGGUAAUACAGAGAGUGCAAGCGUUAAUCGGAAUCACUGGGCGUAAAGCGCGCGUAGGUGGAUAUUUAAGUCGGAUGUGAAAGCCCUGGGCUUAACCUGGGAAUUGCACCCGAUACUGGGUAUCUUGAGUAUGGUAGAGGGAAGUGGAAUUUCCGGUGUAGCGGUGAAAUGCGUAGAUAUCGGAAAGAACACCAGUGGCGAAGGCGACUUCCUGGACCAAUACUGACACUGAGGCGCGAAAGCGUGGGGAGCAAACAGGAUUAGAGACCCUGGUAGUCCACGCCGUCAACGAUGAGAACUAGCUGUUGG
rnacentral:rRNA from 1 species